ACUGCUCAGUAACACGUGGAUAACCUGCCCUGCGGUGGGAAAUAACCCCGGGAAACUGGGGAUAAUGUCCCAUAGGCUACGGAUGCUGGAAUGCUCUGUAGCUCAAAGAUUUAUCGCCACAGGAUGGGUCUGCGGCCGAUUAGGUAGUUGUUGGGGUAACGGCCCAACAAGCCUUUGAUCGGUACGGGUUGUGGGAGCAAGAGGCCGGAGAUGGAUUCUGAGACACGAAUCCAGGCCCUACGGGGCGCAGCAGGCGCGAAAACUUUACAAUGCGGGAAACCGUGAUAAGGGAACUCCGAGUGUCCGUCAAUGCGGACUGUCCGUAUGUUUAAAAAGCAUGCGAAGAAAGGGCCGGGCAAGACCGGUGCCAGCCGCCGCGGUAAUACCGGCGGCUCGAGUGGUGGCCACUAUUACUGGGCUUAAAGCGUUCGUAGCUGGGUUGUUAAGUCUCUUGGGAAAUCUAUCGGCUUAACCGAUAGGCGUCCAAGGGAUACUGGCAAUCUAGGGACCGGGAGAGGUGAGGGGUACUUCAGGGGUAGGAGUGAAAUCCUGUAAUCCUUGGGGGACCACCUGUGGCGUAGGCGCCUCACCUGAACGGCUCCGACAGUGAGGGACGAAAGCUGGGGGAGCAAACCGGAUUAGAUACCCGGGUAGUCCCAGCCGUAAACGAUGCGCGUUAGGUGUAUCGAUGACCACGAGUCAUCGAGGUGCCGAAGGGAAACCGUGAAACGCGCCGCCUGGGAAGUACGGUCGCAAGGCUGAAACUUAAAGGAAUUGGCGGGGGAGCAC
rnacentral:rRNA from 1 species